rnacentral:rRNA from 1 species
CAAUAGCGUAUAUUAAAGUUGUUGCAGUUAAAAGCUCGUAGUUGGAUUUCUGGUCUGAUGCCCUGGCCCGCGCCUUAUAGGUGUGUGUGCCGGCUGUGCGUCUACCAUCCUUCUAGUAACCCUUCCUACCCUUCACUGGGCCGGGUUGGCGAUCUAGAUCUUUUACUUUGAAAAAUUAGAGUGUUCAAAGCAGGCUAUUGCUUGAAUACAUGAGCAUGGAAUAAUGGAAUAGGACUUUGGUCCCAUUUUGUUGGUUUCUAGGGCCGAAGUAAUGAUUAAGAGGGACAAUUGGGGGCAUCCGUAUUUCGUUGUCAGAGGUGAAAUUCUUGGAUUUACGAAAGACGAACAACUGCGAAAGCACUUGCCAAGAGUGUUUUCAUUAAUCAAGAACGAAAGUUAGAGGAUCGAAGACGAUCAGAU